UCUUUUAGGAUUUAUCAACAAAUGUUUCUCCUCGUAUUGUAAAAGGAACGACAUCAGGUCAUCUGUUUGGACCGGGUCAAGGAUCAUUUCUUAAUAUUGAACUUAUUAGCGAAAAAACAGCUGAAUAUUGGUGUCAAAGUAUAUCAGAACUAAAAAGAGAUUUUCCUUCAAAAAUACUUAUAGCAAGUAUUAUGUGCUCAUACAAUAAAGAUGAUUGGACAGAGCUAGCAAAAAUGGCAGAGAAUGCUGGUGCUGAUGCAUUAGAAUUAAAUUUGUCUUGUCCUCAUGGAAUGGGAGAAAGAGGAAUGGGUCUUGCAUGUGGUCAGGUAUAGUAUAAAUGGUUUGUCAGGAUUGAAACUGUGGAAAAAUUUGUGAAAUAUUUUUAACAUAUUAUAGGUUAAAUUGGAAAUUGGUGCAAAAUCAUCAAUUAAAAAUUAUUUAUUUAUAAAGAUUUAGACUGUUUCAUUUAGUUUUGUAGUAUAAUAUUAAUUAAAUCUACUGUUAGUUUUAGUUCUUCAUUUGGAAUUUCACAAUAAUUUCUGUGCAAUAUUUCAGAAGAAAGUGCUUUUAAUUCAUAAGAAGACUGUUAUUCAAGUUUUAGGAAAAUAUCUUUAUUGUAGAAAUGCAUUCUGUAAUGAACUCAGUAUUUGAAACAAAG